GCAUGGGAAAGUGAUCCAUUUUAACUCCGGCGAGGCACCAACUCACUUUAAAUACGAGGUGCUGGUGGGAUUGAGCCGUUCCUCUUUUACCCAGAGGCCCCUGCGCACAUUCGCCCCCGAGGGGAGCCCGAACAGGCCCUUCAUUUUCAUAAGGGGGAAUUUAUGGCACCAGUGAGACGGGACCAAAUCGCUUCCCACAGCUGCCGUGGUACGGCUCUAAAUCUCCCUCCCUCCCUCCCUCCGUCUUUCUCCCUCCCUCCCUCCCUCCCUCUCUCCCCCUUCUCUCGCUCUCACCAAUUCUUUCUGCCUCCUCCUCUGUCUCUCCAUUUUGGUUCAGUGAUGGAAAAAAAAUGAGAGAUCUCCAUCUUAAAUUCCAUCUCACAGCCCAAAAUCUUAUUCUCCCCACGGGAUCCCACAGAGUCGUUACCUGCUGUGGAACCAUCCCUGUACAGAUGAUGCCAUCAACUGUGUUCGGACCCCAGGCUGGAACGCCUCAGACGGUGCCAUACGGUACAUUUAUCAGUGCUGCUAACGGACAGAAAGACGUCACGCGCAAUAAAUCCAGAGUCCGCGUUGCGUACAAAGCCAGUCACUGUGGAUACAGCGACUGCUCUUUAUUAACUGAAAGCCGAGACAUUCUGAAACAUGAAAACUCUUAAAAGCUUCUUUUACAGGUAUACAUUUGUAUAUUUCAUUAUAAUGAUUGUUUUAAGGCACGAGUUAAAUAAAGUACAUGGAGAAGGCAAGAGGUUUGCAAUGGAAAGAGGAAAAGUAGGCCUACUCAUGACGAGACAGUUUUCAUUUUGAUGGCUUACAUAGGUAACAAAGAAUGUAACGACAGGUGAUAAACUGAUACACUUUGACCCACCCACGGACCCACGGUGGAGCAUAACAAAAACAUUUUUUUCUCCAACUUCUGCGGCGGAUUCUCCAUUUCGGCAACAAAAUCCAGUCCGUUUCUCGGUCGCUUCAGUAAUCGUCACAUCCUCCUGCGUUCGGCGGAAGUCCCAGCCACGCGCGAGUCACUCAUAAAGAAUGCAAACCCCGAGAUGCAAUGCCUUGGAGCCAAGGCGGCGAAUGGGGAACAGCAGACACAUGCGUGCUUUAAACAAGGUGUGCUCGUAUUUUAAUCUAUCGUUCAGACAAAUGUUGUGACGAGACAACUACAGGCGAGUUCGGAGAAAAGGUCGUUUGUUGGUCUGUUAAGAGAGAGAACUUUACCCCAAAAUCGAAUGUUUGCAGAAGAUUUAUAUCUGUCCACCGAUAACGAGGUGAAAAGGAAAACAUGUACAACACGACAAUUUUCUACAGAGCCGCCUCCACUCGGAAAAAAUCCGUUGGAAUGACGCUGUUGUGUCGUGUCACCAUGGGAGCCACGCGCACUCAACGUCACCGGGACAAACAGGUUAGCCGUAGCCGUAUUUCUGAUGCUAGACGUGCAAUGUGAAAUAUAUAGACAGCCAUAAAACUUAGAGGAAAAAAAGAGAUAGUUUUAAACAUUCCAACUGUGAAAGGAUCAACAAAAUACAAACUGAAUAUGGGUGAAGUGCCCCUUUUAAGGUGAGAAGGACAGACAUUCGUAGAUCAACUGAAAACCGCAGUGAAGCUGCCAGACCAACAAUAGCGGCUCAGUCAUUACUGUACAAUGAAGUCCACAGAAAACGAAUACCAUUUGAUGAUUAAUAUUUAUAUAUAUUUAAAACAUAAAGAAUAAUGUGCAAACAUACAUACAUAUAAUUUGGCUUAAAACCCACAUAGGCAAUAAAAUGAAAUACUUGUCUCUUUGGUGGCUAGUGUUCUGCUGCUAAUGGUAAAGAAACUUCCAUCUCGUUGGACUGGAUUAUGAGUAGAUUCAGACUAAAAAAAAGUAUCAAAUGUUUUUAUUGUGUUUUUUUUGUUUGUUUUUGUUUUAACGAAAUGGUCCUUUUGACCUUUUAAGCGAUUCGACUCCCCUUUCCGAACACUGACGCUCCUCCUCCAUCUUGUCUUCUUCGCGGUACAGUAACGUAUUUACAAAUUGUACAUCCCCUACAUCAAAAUAAUAAUAAUAAUAAUAAAAUAAAA